UAUUUAACCUCCCUUACUUCGUUCUUCUCCGCUUCUGAUUCGUUCUUCUUCGCUUCUUAUAACAGAAGAAAAAAUAUUUCAUCCCCACCACCGCCAUCAUUUCCAUCGCCCUCCACCACCGCCAAGAUCUAUCACCGCCACCAAAACCAGCACCACCAUCUCCAUUACGUCCGCCACUAGUAUCAGCAGAUUUAUUACGAUUUGUGUUCGAUUUCAACUAAUUUUAAACCAGUUUCAAAGAUCAGUUUGAUUUUUGGUUUUCGGUUUGGUAAUAUCAAGGUUGAGAUUUAGAUUUCAAGUGGAUUUUGAGUUAAAGAUUCGAAUUCAGUGAUUUGAGAUUUGUUGAUUCUGAACGGAUAAGGUUCAAUUUUAUUUUUAGGUUUUGGUUUUGAAAUUUGUGAAAACUAAAAAAUUGGGUUACAUAUUGAUUAAUAUCGAUAAGAGAGAGAUUUAGUUUCCAUUUUGUAUUUCAUUUAUCUAAAUUAGUUUCUGGUGGUGGUGGUGGUGGUGAUUAAAUUGAUGAAACUAUGGUUGGCGGUUUGAAGCUACUGGUGUUAUUGUUUGUAUAUUACUUUUCAGUACAUACUGGUGGUGAUGUUGGUGUAUCAAGAUGUAACAGGAGGUGAUGGGUAUUAGAUGGUAGUGGGUGGUGGUGGAUAGAAUAUGCUAAACAGAAGGGACUGAGUAUGUUGCUCGUUUGGAUCUAAUUGGUGAACUGAGUUGUUAUUGUAUGGUAAUCAGGUUGUGCAAGAUGAGUAUGAGUUCUUUACAAAACAACAAUUGGUGACCAUAUUUUUUGCCCCAAAUUAUUGUGGAGUAUUCUGGUGCUAUAACGAUCGUCGAUAACGCACUAAGUUGUUCGUUUCAUAUCCUUAAACCCAGUGAGAAGAAAGCUGAAGGUUCCGCAUCAUGUCAGAAACACCACCUCCUAAGAACUGCUGUUACUGUGCGACGGGUCGAGAUGUAUCAUACCCAGGCCUAAAUGUAUCCUACCAGACCUGAAGGAAAGAUUUCAUGUUAAGGAGUUAGUUUUAGGUUGUUUGUUGGUUAAAAUGUUUGGUCUGUAUUACUAUCUAUCUGUUAAUUGCACAUGAUUUUGAUAUGUUGUUUUGUAUUGGCGAAUCUGUGAUGCAAUGGUAGCACAAAUGACUAUAUGUUAGAAGAUGUGUGU